rnacentral:rRNA from 1 species
AGGACGAACGCUGGCGGCGUGCCUAACACAUGCAAGUCGAGCGGUAAGGCCUCCUUCGGGGGGUACACGAGCGGCGAACGGGUGAGUAACACGUGGGUGACCUGCCCUCAGCUCUGGGAUAAGCCUGGGAAACCGGGUCUAAUACCGGAUAGGACUGCUUGCCGCAUGGUGGGUGGUGGUAAAGUUUUUCGGCGUGGGAUGGGCCCGCGGCCUAUCAGUCUUGUUGGUGGGUGAUCGGCCUACGAAGGCGGUGACGGGUA